GAGAAAGAAGAGAGAAGAGAGAGAAUACAUAUAAAACUAACAUAUUGUUUAAUGUUAGAUCAAGUACGUCAGAAUUAAAACAUUUUGGAAGAUUCAAAUCUAGUGAAAUCCAAAAUCAAGAAACGCCACCCAUUUCAAACUCAUGGUCGUCAGAAACAUAGACUGUUAAAAAAAAAGUUGUUUUGGGCAGAUGUUUCUUUUUCACUUGGUCUUUCCCGACACCAUGACUCCGAACUCCUGGAUGGUGAUCUCCUUGUCAUGGUACUGCUGCAGCUGGCGGUUGGUGAUGUUCCCAGCCCUCAGGGCGUCUUCAAUGGAGAACUUCUUCCCAGACUUCCUGUCGUGGAGAACAGAGGACUCCCCUUGGGGCCCUUGACACUGAUCUCCUCCCAGUCGCACUCCUGGCUCUGGAGGUUCACAAACAUCUUCCAGUCGAUCAGCCCCAGCUUGUAGGCCUCCUCUGGCCUCAUCUCCUUACCCGAGUCGGGGUCGAUGACCACGAUGGAUCUCCUCAGGUGGCUCUCCCUCUGCUCCCUCUUGAUCUGGAUGGCCGACAGGCUCUUCUGUAGCUUCUCGAUCUCCUCAUCCUUCUGGCUGGUGAUGGCCCUCAGUUCGGCCAGCUCCCUCUGCAGUGAGUCCAGCCUCAGCUCUAGGUUCUUCCCGCUCUCCAUGGGGGCCGAGUUGGAGAUGCUCCGGGUCUCCGUGGAGGUGAUCUGGAUCUCGGACUGCAGCCUGCGGAUGUCAUUCUGUAGCCUCUGGUUCUCCUGCUGGAGAACCACCAUCUGUUUCACUGUGACCCUCUCCCUGUUCUCCUUGUCCCUGACCUCCAUCUCGUUCAACCUGACCCUCAGCCUCUGGAUCUCCAGCUCUGCAUCGCGCCGAGCUCGGCGUUCUCGCUCCAGCUCCUCCAGCUGUGCGUCCAGGUUGGCCUUCUGCCUCUGAAGUUGGAAGAGCUCCUCUUUCAGGGUCUCCCUCUGCCUCUGUUCAUUGUUGAUGUUCUGUGUGAAGGUGCUGCACUCUGACCUCAGUAAUGGGUCCUCCUCCAUCUUAACCACCUCCUGCUGGACAACCUUCUCCCUGACCUGGGACAGGUCGAUCUUCCUUAGCCGGAUCUUCUCCUCAUUAGCUGAUCGCUCCCUCUCCAGGUCCAGGCGUUUCUUCUGCUCGUCCGCCAGCUUCCUCUUCAGGAUCUCAAUCUCCUCCUUGGUCUUGGGGUUUUCUUUGUACUCCAGCACCUCGUUAACCACCUCUUUAAUUUGCACCUGUGGCUUGGUGUCCUUCCACCUCUGAAUCUCGUCCCUCAGCUGCCUGAUCUCCAUCUCUGACUUCUCCGUCUGGUACGUCUUGUCCACAAUCUCAUUGCGGAGUUUCUCCAGCUCCCUCUCGGUCUGCGGGUCCGUCUUGUACUUGAUGACUUCCUUGAUGAUCUCCUUGAUCUCGAUCUGCGGACCUCUGUUUCUCAGCAUCUUCAGCUCGUCCUGGUGGGAUUUCAGCUGCUGGUCGGCGUCUCUGUACCUCCUCUGGUGUUCCACCAGUUCCAUGCGUAGGUUGGCCACUUCAGCCUCAGCCUUGGGGUCAGGCCUGACGAUCUCCCUCACCUUCUCCUGAACUAUGACCCUUGACUUUUCCUCCUCUAGGCUGGAGAUCUUCCUCUGGAGGUCGGCGCGCUCCCUUUGGGAAGACCGGUGCUUGGCCUUCUCAUCCUCAUGUUGCAUCCUGAGAUUCUCUACCUCCCUCUCAAAGGCGAUAUCCUUCUCCACCUUCAGCACCUCCUUGAUGGAGAUCUUCUCCUCGGCCAUGGACUUCUCCUUCUCCAGCCUGCGGAGCUUGUCCUGGAGGAAGCGCAGCUCGUCCUCCAGUUGCUUCCUGCCCUCCUGCUCCUUCUGCUUCCUGUCCAAGAGGAUGCGGUACUCGUUCUCCAGUUGCGGGUCGUUUUGCACUUUAAUCACCUCCUCCUCUGUGAUCACUUCCUGCUCCUUGGACUUCUGCUGUGCCAGAAGCGUCACCUGCUUGGUGAUCUGGAUCACCUCGUUGUCCUUGAUGGUCUUCCUCCUCCUCAGUUCUUCCAGCUCCUCCCUGAGCCUCCUCACCUCCUCCUCCUGGCCGCGGUCCCUCUCGAUACGCAGCACCUCCUUCACGGUGUACUGCUGUGCUCCUUCUUUGAUCUCUGUUUCGAUGCCGCGCAGCUUCAGCCUCAGCGCCUCCAGCUCGUUGUCCAUGGCCCGGGUGACCCGGGUUUCGUCUGACAGUUUCUGACGGACAUUGUGGACCUCGUCGACCAGAGUCGGAUCCGGAACCUUCUUGAUGAUCUCCUUCUUGACGACGGUGUCCUCUGGCUUCUGGCCCUCCAACAUGUAGAUGUCCGUCUGGAUUUUCUCUAGAUCCUUCUCCAGCUGCUCCCUCCUCUGAAUCUCAUCUUUCAGUUGACUCUCGAUCCUCCAGGCUUCUUCUCCCGGAGCAGCAGAUCUGACUUGUUGGACAUUGUUGCUGACGAUCACGUCUGAUUGCUGAAAGAGAGGGAGAGGAGGCUGGGGUUAUUGUUUUUAGAAGUUAAUGGAAAUGAUGUUUAUUUAGAAUGAUGUGACAUUUAAAUUCUGGAUCUAUAUAAAGAUGUGCCACAUUGAUUGUUAAACAUUCAGGAGUAUCUCACCUGAUUCAUAAGUCCUUGUGCAAACUGCAGAUUCGCCAUCCGUUGCUUGUUAACUGCAUUCACUUCGGUGAAUUUAGC
ensembl:lncRNA